ensembl:lncRNA
GGCACAUUUUCAUCCUGCAACCUGAUUGGCUCUUCUCGUUUAUGAUGAAAUAAUAAUGUACUCAAUACAAACAGUCUGUGACUACUUCUUCCUGUUGAUGCCACACCACAUCUUUCUACUCGCCGCUCAAUUCCAGUAAAAUAAACUAUAAUCAAGCCGAACUGAACACGUUUUUGCAAAAGUUAACAGAUUAUUCAAAAAGUUCAAAGUUAUGCAGUUUGCCAUUUUGUAUCGCAUUUUUUUUUUUAAUCAAAGCUUAAAAUUUCAUUACGAAGUAAUCAAUAGCUGUCCGCUUGCCUAGCUAGUGCCUAACCUGCUACCUAGCUAAUGUUAGAAAGUAACCUCCCAAGCAUCAUAUGAUUUAUAUUUCGCAAUAAUAAUAAUAAUUUUUUUUUAAAAAUCCACAAAAAUGAUCAAUAGAGGCAAAUUAAAAAUUUUCGAACUCCGAUGACGUCUCCCCUCUCCUGAUUAGCAACGAUGCGAACGCAAUCAUUCGCGUUAAAGCCACCACGCCGUGCCACACGGUUCGAGCAGAGCGCUCAAAUUAAAUAAUCAUUUUAAAAAAAAACAUACGCUGCAACUUAAGAUUUUCAGUGCAGUACAAAAACUUUUCCACGGUAACUAUUUUGUGCAUUUAAAUGAAUUCUCCUGACAAUACCUAAUGAUAAAAGCUGAAUCGGAUUUUCAGCAGACAUUCUGUUAUUACUACUACGAGCUCUUUUGUUGCUGCAUUCCUGCUCAUUCUCUGAUUCCAGGCCUGGUUUUAACAUUACGUCAUUGCACUUGAACCAGAUUUUCUUCAUUUACCUCAUUUAAUCAUUUUACAAAAGGAGUCCAACUUUUUCACAACACCCCAAACCUUUGGGCAGCCUCCAGCGUAUCUCCUUACACGGGUGAGAAAGUGAUAGACUGACGGGUUGGUUAUUUAUUCAGUUAAGGUCUUAUAGUAUGACAUUCCUGAAACGCCCAGUUUGUGGAAUCAUUUGUUUACAGAAGAUCCUUCUGCACAUGUGAAAGACAUUACCGCCUAACGUUACAAGACUCAGUGUACCUCUCGCUCACUAUGUGAGGAUAUGCACUGCCUCAGAGGCCAUCCUUCCCUCCUGAACAAAGGGGGCCUUUAUGCCCAGUGCCCAAAAGUGCCACCGUGGGAAACGGGGCUGUUUUUCUGCUGUCUCCGUCUUUAUUUAGGCCGGAUCCCAAAUGACUCCCUACUCUCUGUAUCACUGUAUUACAUGGGGGAAGGAAUAAUGGCUUCUGCAUCACCUGGGUCAGUGUUUUCCAUUCUACUUGCCCCGGGGCAGGCUGCCCUAGGUAGUGCACAACAAGAAGGCAUUUGGGAUUCUGCCUAACCCGUCAAGGGCAACACAGGCUAGGUGCUAAGGUGAUCCAGAGAUUAAGGUGGAGACAAAUGGUCGAGGCUGAUGCGCCAAUGCAUGUGCAAGGAGUCGCAAUUAGCGCGCGCGUGUCAGCUUUUCAAGUGCACACACAGCAUGUACAUGCAACAUCCGCAGAGCUUGAAUGACAUGAAGAUGCGCAGUUAUUUUUAGGAACAUGCAAAGUCAUCAAGGUUGCCUCAAUGUGCAAUCGGCUCAUGCUUCGGAUCGAUUCAUAGAGCUAAACACACACGUAACGCAUGAUCCCGCGCGCCCCUCCCGCAUUCCACCAGAUUACACCAUCUUGGCUGCAUCCCAAUUUGCUCCUUUAUAGUAGACUGCAUAAGGAACAGAAGCUAUUUCACAGCGCAUGUUGCGGUUAACUUCUACACUGAGUAAUCAAUCACAGAUUUGGGAUUCGGCCUGUGCGUCCUGAAGGACAGUCGCGUUUGUCUCGUGCACCGAAACUGUCAACGACCUGCAACUCAAAAACAACAACCACCUUCAGAGGUCCAAGUUAAUCCGAACACGCAAGUAGACAUAAGUGCAUUCUGCGCUCGUGCAUCAGAGAUGCAAAAGAUGCACGGUCUUUAAAAAGAGCUACAUCAUAAAGGUAAAAGAAACGGCUAGUUACAGCUACGCGUCUCCACCCUCCCGUACAGAAACGGCUGAUAUGACAUGCGUUUAGCUGGAUUUCGAGUCUUUUCUCCUACCUCCUUGCGGUUUCACCAGAGAUGAUGAAGAUGACGGCGGUAAUGAGGCACGCGGACUUUUUGCUGCAUUGACUCAGCGCUCUCCAGCACUGUACCACGUGACUCCGCGCUGCGCCGUUCAGGGAUGGCCAUCACGAGUCAGUUUUACAGAUUCGAUUCUUUCGAACAAACCCGUCGAAAAGAUUCAAACUGAGACUUCGAACCGUUUGAUUCUUCUGGUGUGAAUCAUCCAAAAAAAAAAAAGUAUUAAUUAAGCAGGCCAGGUACAGAAGUUUAUACCUUAUGAUGUUUUACUCUAGAGAAAAAGUAGUAAGCCUGUACUAAUAUAUACAUAUCUCUCCCCUGAGAUGUAGUAGCCUAUAUCUAUUUACAGCUCCAAAUCUAGUCUAAUUGCCACUUGUGCGUUAUAAACAAAUAUAGUAGUCAAGUUUUCGACCUAAAAGUUAUGCUUAAAAAGGUCAUUACAAACGUGAGAAUCAAAAAUACUUUUCAAACCGAAUUCCUGAGCUUUACACUUUCAAUCUCAGUAGUUCAUCUUGGGUAAUUGUGUCUCAAUAAAACCUUUUUUUUUUAGUCGUCACUGAGGCAUAUCAAGCCAUGCAUAUUUAUAUGAUUAAACUAUUUUACAAUAGUCAAAGUGUUAGUAAACACAACAAAGACUUUACAACUACUUUACAUUUGAGACUCUACAAGUAGGAAAAAGUCAAUCCAAAAACCAACUUAAAAUGUAGCAUAAAUCAUAACAGCAUGGAAAAUGUAAAUAAAUAAAAAACAUUAAAAAAAGAAAAAAAAAGUCAAAUAAAAGAAGCAGAAAACAACCCACAACACGGCUGACUAAAGAUUCGAUUCGGACGACUCGCUUUAAUAAUGAGUAACUUAAAAAGAAUCGAGCAGCUCACGAGUCGCCCAUCACUAGCACGGUUGUAGCUUUGCAGCUGAAAACCCCAUCAAAUGUUUUGUCCUUCUUUUAAAGGAACCAGACUUAAAGCCUGUGCUAAACCAGGUAGCCAGGUUCAAUUAUCUGCUUCAAACCCAAACUAACUUUAAUAAAAAAUCAAUGUCAUGUACCAUAUCCGCAGCUGUGUGCAUAACUGAGCAUGAAGAUUGCUUCAGAAAGUCCACAGAGCUGCAGCUAGGGAGAAGGAAGUGUAAAACUGCAACUUCAUUUCCGCCCACAUUGGUCGUGUUAAACAUCUGUGUCCUCUCUAGGAGACACAGCCUGCUGAGAUUCACACUGUAACACCAACACAACUACUAUAAAACACCACACACACACACACACACACACACACACACACACACACACACACACACACUUACACUUAAAGCGAAGUGCUGGAGAUCAAAACACACUCAGUUCCAAACCACAAACUACUACAGGAACUGAGUAGUAAUCCUAACCCGAGUCUACGUGCGGUUUGGGACGUAGCCCUCAUCCUGCACUUCUCACAGUAGACUGCGAUUAUGAGUUGCAUCCCAGAAGAACUAACAAACCGUAACCACAGGAGCGUUUACAAGCGUGUAACUGUUUUCUUACCUGUUAUACUGUCAUCCAUAGAUAUUUCCUGGUCAGCCAUUGUAUCCACCUUAUCCGUGUAGGAGUAUUUUAUCCUUUAAAAAUCAUGUAAACAACACCGGAGCCCACUUUUCAUGGAGUGUUUGAAAGAAAAGGCCUGCUUGAACUUUUUGCACGCGCCUCGGGGUUUUUUCCCAGAGCAUUCAAAAUGGUUCUGGAGAGAAACCUUGUUUUUGUCGACUUUUUCCUCUCUCUCUCUCUCUUUUUUUUUUGCCUGGAUGUGACACCUUGGAGAAAGGAAGUCUGCACUAGCCGUGACUUUCCGUUUUUUUGGCUCGCGGUCC